GUGGGUCCUCGUGCUGUGGGGGGACAUCAUCAGGAAUGUCCUCGUAGGCCUCCUCCUCGGUAGAUUGGGCGAGACGAUAUUGGGGGAGGGUAGGUUCUUCGGUGCCUCUCGAUCAUCCUCAUGCUAAGCACACUCGAGAUGCCUUGUGGAGACAUCUGGCCGAUGAGGGUGAGGGAUGAUUCUUGGGUCGUGGUGUUGAGG
rnacentral:lncRNA from 1 species